GCUCGUGCCGUGAGUGUUGGGUUAAGUCCGCAACGAGCGCAACCCCUAUCUUUAGUUGCCAGCGAGUAAUGUCGGGGACUCUAGAGAAACUGCCUACGCAAGUAGAGAGGAAGGCGGGGACGACGUCAAGUCAUCACGGCCCUUACGUCCUGGGCCACACACGUGCUACAAUGGUAGAUACAGAGGGCAGCUACCCCGCGAGGGGAUGCGAAUCUCAAAAGUCUAUCUCAGUUCGGAUUGGAGUCUGCAACUCGACUCUAUGAAGCUGGAAUCGCUAGUAAUCGCGCAUCAGCCAUGGCGCGG
rnacentral:rRNA from 1 species